UGAUGACUACCCGGUGGUUUUCCUGCCUGCCUAUGAGAAUCCUCCAGGAUGGAUUCCUCCUCAUGAGAGGGUACCCCACCCAGACUACAACAAUGAGUUGACCCAGUUUCCGCCCCAAACCAUCACACUGAAGAAGCCUCCUGAAGCUCAGUUGGGAUUUAACAUCUGAGGAGGAAAGGCCUCCCAGCUAGGCAUCUUCAUCUCCAAGGUGAUUCCUGACUCUGAUGCACAUAGAGCAGGACUUCAGGAAGGGGACCAAGUUCUAGCUGUGAAUGAUGUGGAUUUCCAAGAUAUUGAGCACAGCAAGGCUGCUGAGAUCCUGAAGACAGCUCGUGAAAUCAGCAUGCAUGUCCGCUUCUUUCCCUACAAUUUUCAUCGCCAAAAAGAGAGGACUGUG
rnacentral:lncRNA from 1 species